rnacentral:rRNA from 1 species
CCUACGGGGCGCACCAGUGGGGAAUAUUGCACAAUGGGCGCAAGCCUGAUGCAACCAUGCCGCGUGUAUGAAGAAGGCCUUCGGGUUGUAAAGUACUUUCAGCGGGGAGGAAGGCGAUAAGGUUAAUAACCUUGUCGAUUGACGUUACCCGCAGAAGAAGCACCGGCUAACUCCGUGCCAGCAGCCGCGGUAAUACGGAGGGUGCAAGCGUUAAUCGGAAUUACUGGGCGUAAAGCGCACGCAGGCGGUCUGUCAAGUCGGAUGUGAAAUCCCCGGGCUCAACCUGGGAACUGCAUUCGAAACUGGCAGGCUAGAGUCUUGUAGGGGGGGGUAGAAUUCCAGGUGUAGCGGUGAAAUGCGUAGAGAUCUGGAGGAAUACCAGUGGCGAAGGCGGCCCCCUGGACAAAGACUGACGCUCAGAUGCGAAAGCGUGGGGAGCAAACAGGAUUAGAUACCCCAGUAGUC